GAACAACAUAAACUGUUCCGUGCUAUGCGGCCAUAUUUCUCUGGCCGAAGCAGGGGCUCGUUAAUUCGGGCCAUUGAGUUUGGCACCUCCAUGAAUGCAUACAUGGAGGAGUAUGCUCAAUUUACAUACUGCCCCGAGGGAACGAAAAAAAUGAGGGAGAAUGCUCAGACGAAGGUCAGCCGGGCCAAGGUCUUUGUAAAAUAUCUUUGCCUCGGCUGCCCUUCCCUGACGCUUUGGGACUGGACAUUUUUGUUCAACGUCCCCCUCCUGAAGUUUUACCCUGCUCUCCUGCGCAAUGUUGGCCUGGCCC